AAACCAGCACCUCAAGUGGUCAGGAUGAUUAUUGGGCCUAAAGCAUCCGUAGCCUGCUCUGUAAGUUUUCGGUUAAAUCUGUACGCUUAACGUACAGGCUGCCGGAAAUACUGCAGAGCUAGGGAGUGGGAGAGGUAGACGGUACUCGGGAGGAAGUGGUAAAAUGCUUUGAUCUCUCGAUGACCACCUGUGGCGAAGGCGGUCUACCAGAACACGUCCGACGGUGAGGGAUGAAAGCUGGGGGAGCAAACCGGAUUAGAUACCCGAGUAGUCC
rnacentral:rRNA from 1 species